UACGUAGGGUGCAAGCGUUGUCCGGAAUUAUUGGGCGUAAAGAGCUCGUAGGCGGUCUGUCACGUCGGACGUGAAAAUCCAGGGCUCAACCCUGGACCUGCGUUCGAUACGGGCAGACUAGAGUUCGGUAGGGGAGACUGGAAUUCCUGGUGUAGCGGUGAAAUGCGCAGAUAUCAGGAGGAACACCGAUGGCGAAGGCAGGUCUCUGGGCCACUACUGACGCUGAGAAGCGAAAGCAUGGGGAGCGAACAGG
rnacentral:rRNA from 1 species